GGGGGAAAAAAGAAAUUAUUGUUUUUCAAGCAGGAAAACAUCAAACAUUUGGUGUUAUCAAGAAGUCCAUGAAGGGAACAGGACCAAUCAGAAGCCAGCUGUUACAAAGAACACAUUAUAAGCAAGUUUCACAGUAGAAAAGGAAACUGAAGGGCCCAGUGGCUGGAGUUAAUGUGACUGAAGAAAAAGAAUUUACCUGAAAUUUAGAGAAAACUAGUCUUCCACAGGGACUUGCCGAGAAGCACCAACAAAAAUCUACUUUGGGUCACUAUUGUCACUCUUCUAUAAAAUCUCACAGGGUCAUCUGCUAUUUGCCAAGAUAUUCCCUUCCUCAGUUUGUUUAGUUAAACCAGGGAGCUAUCUAUCUAAGACCACUCAUUUUAGAACAAAAACAUUCUUCCCUGAUAGGCACAGAAGCAAAUAAAAUAACCUACCUUAAAAUCAUGCUAAUAAUGUUAGAAGCCAUUCAUUUGAAACAUGUCUUAAGACAGAUAACUUUCAUUUUUCUUUCAGAUUUUUGUCAUAGGGAAAUGGAGCCCCUGGCAUGAAAUAAGGUAUCUCCCAAGGACUUAAAGAACUAGGAAUAGGUUAGGAUGUCCUUUCUUGUGGAAAAAAGAAAAAAACUGGAGAAGGAAUCAAACAGCCAUCUGUAGGAUGGAAAGUCCUUUUAUAAAAGUGAUUUACUUCUUAAGCCUUCUAACCCUUUGUUUCAUAAGUAAUGCAGGUUGCUGACCCCUGUGUCUCCUUGAAAGAACAAUGAGGUGGAAACAUGGGGAGAUGGGGAAAUGCAUGGAUCCCUGGGCUGCUGAACAGCUGUGCUUCUCAAAGAAAGCUCAAGGGGUCUACAGAAAAAAGAAAAAGAGUAAGCCACAAAUGCAUGGAACUAUCUGGACUUACAGCUAAGCAUCCCUAGAUACCAGACAUUAUUCCUUCUACUUAUCAAAAAAGAAAGUCAUGAAAGUUGAAGGACUGAAAGAUCUACAUGCACUGAAGCUAUAGUCAGGGAGCAUGGCCUUUGCAUGGGCUUUUUGCUCUACAGUCUGCUCUACCUGGAGGUAUGUUUGAAAGUACUCAUCAUAUAUAUGAACUGACAACUUUGUAAAUGUUGAGAGAAAUAUUUCUUCUCUUCCUUCUUGAGUAAUAUACUACUGGCAGCCUUGGAUCUAGAAUCCCUAUAAAACUUUGUCAUUCCUCAACCACAAUCAUGGCCACAAUAAGAGAACCUGAGAGGUAGGGAUACAAGGAACCCAAAAAGGACUCAGGGAUUUGGUCUCUAGAGUAUUCUGGACAAUAU